UACAGAGGGUGCGAGCGUUAAUCGGAAUUACUGGGCGUAAAGCGCGCGUAGGCGGUUUUGUAAGUCGGAUGUGAAAGCCCCGGGCUUAACCUGGGAACUGCAUUCGAGACUGCAUAACUAGAGUAUUGGAGAGGGCAGUGGAAUUUCCGGUGUAGCGGUGAAAUGCGUAGAUAUCGGAUGGAACAUCAGUGGCGAAAGCGACUGCCUGGCCAAAUACUGACGCUCAUGUGCGAAAGCGUGGGGAGCAAACAGG
rnacentral:rRNA from 1 species